CACCAAGGGUGUGCCUUUGUGGUUUACAUUUUGUCCUUGGGAGCAGAACUCUCUGUCUUUGCUCCUGGCUGUCAUGUUCCAAGUGCUUUCCUCUGCCACACCUUUCACCGGAAUAGUCUAAUUUACCUCGGACUCAGAGCUAUAGAGUCAGCCGACCAUGAACUAAACCUCUGAAACUAGAACAAGCUAUACCAGAAGCUUCUUCUUAUAAAGACAGAGCUUAUCACAUCUUUUGCCUGAAGUAUGCACCCCUCAGGAAGAACAUUGAAGAAGUUUACUCUUAAAUGAACAGAUCCUGUAUCUUUACAAAGCUUAGACUACCUGGGUGAUACAUGGCUGUGUGAUACAACUUGGUGUGGUUAAACAGCUUCCUGAAGAUGCAAAUUUCCACAAAACAAUCUCAGGGUUCCUUUGGAAGUUGAAAGGUCACUACCAGCGUCAAGGAACCCACUGUUCUGUCUUCUGUCACCAUAGAUUGGAUUUGCCUUUCCUAUACUUUCAGGUGGGAAAAAAGCAUUUGGCUUCUCAAGAAAGAAAGAAGUAAAGAAAACAAAGAAAGAAGGAAGGAGGAAGAAAGGCAGACAGGAAGAAAACCACAGGUGAAAUAGUCAAAGCUUAGUCUUUGGAAGCAGAGAACACCUGGCUCUGCUUCUGGUUAUAUCUGCCUGAAAAAGUGACCACACUUUUUUAUGUGCUUCUUUGUUUGGCAAAAAGAGAAUAUUACCACCCAGAAUCACUGAGAGGAUUAAAUUCAAGGAGAUCACCUAUGUAAAGCGCAUAGUAAGUCCUCAAAAAAUGUUGCUUCUCUCCAUCUCCCUGCCUUGGAAAGGGAUGAGCCAGCUGAGCGGGCUUGCAGGCCCUUAAGCUCAGCAGACCAGAUGUACAUAAUUUCUGAUCAGUGUCACCCUGCGGGCUGUCUGUGAGCUCAGAUGAUUUAGCCCAAGUGCAUAUUGUCUAGUUAGAACUGUGUUCUAUGGAAGUUUGGUCAUUUUAAAUCAUGCUCUAAAUAACCUUUUGUGAAUUGAUUAUUCAAAGCUUCAAAAUAUCCGAAGUUAUCUUUAGCUUUGUAGGGGAUGUUAGAUAAGAUGAAGAAAACUUGAGCCUGCAGCUUGGUUAGUAAUGAAAAGUUGCUACCAGCUACACAUUAGAAGUUUGUAGAGAAACAGGCUCACCAGGUACGGGGAUGAUGGGGUGGAUAGGGAGCAGGGAUAGAGUUAUAGCAGACUGUUCUAGAAAAGCCAACAGCUUUGUGUAAGUCCUGAGCUGCAGAUUCUGAAGACCUGUACUGUCAAAUAUCACUCUGUGGGAGUCACAGAAAAAGAGAUGCUGAAGCAUGCAGCAACUUGGAAAAUAACCACCUGAAGCACCUGGAAAAACAAAAGAGCUUAGAAAGGUCGUGUCAGAUCUAAUGAGGACAGAGACACCUUGGCCAAGAAUGAGAAGAUUGGAGUCUUGUGAUAACUCCACCUCCGGUUCUGUGCAAAUCCCUUUGGGAGCUUGGUUUCUUCGUCUGUAAUGAAGGGGUUAGCACCACAGUUGCUUCCAGCUCCGACAUCCUAUAAUUUUGUGAUAGUGAUUAAUCCAUGGAUGUUAGGUGCUGGGAACUUGGCUACUUGAUCCAGCUUCUGAUGUUCAUUGAGCCCCCAUGUAAAGCAACUCUUACAAAGGUACAAGCUGGGAGGAUUUAUGAGACAAAAAGAAAAAGAACAAAAUUGGAGUGGGGGUGAAGGGAUGGUCAGUUCAGUUUUGGACAUGCUACACACAUUUACCGUAUAUAUUCUUGAAGACAUCGGGAAUACAAAACUGGAGGUUAGAUGAGGUCAUAGCUGGAGAAGCAGAGUUAGGAAUCAUUAACAAAUAAGUUUCAACAGAUAUUUACUGAGCACUUAGUUAGUGCUAAUAUUCAUCCAUAUAACCCACAAACAUUUAUUUGGCAUCUAUUAUGUCAAGUCCCAUGAUAUAUACUGUGGAAAAAUGAAAGAAGAGAGGAGGCACAUACUUGUUUUUAGGAAUAUACAAUAGAAGUUGCAUUUGGAUAAGACAAAAAGAGUUUUGCUACAGGGUGGUGUAAGAUUUGUUCUGUGAGAGAAACACAAUCUGUUUUGGGGUUUUCGAGAAGAUACGUAGGAUUUCAACUUCAGGGAAUCUUCAUUAGAAAAAAACUUUGAAAAAAGAAUAAGAUUUGCUUGUGGAAAUGGGAAUUGGGGAGGGCAUUCCAGGGUGAGGAAUAGAGCAAAUGAAUACUAAUGAAUGGAAUGGGAAGGUUUGAAGCAUCUUCAAGGAUGGCAAGAAGUCUGGUUGAAACGUGAGCAUAGGCCUUGCAAAAAGGAAUAGUGGAAAUUAAGCAUUGGGCAAAUCAAGAUUAUAUUAUGGAGUGCUGAAGGCUGAAGAGUUUCCUUAUUUUUUCAUUACAGGAGGGUGCCAUUCCCUUUUUAAAAGGAUAUGAGUGGUGGUCUGAGCUUGACCUUAGUAGUAUCUCUCUGGUUCCAGUAAAUAGAUUAGAUCUGAGUUUGAAAUCAGAGCCGGAUGAACUUCUAUGUCUAAGUAUCAUAAUUGGAUGAGCCUGGAGAUGAUAAAGCCUGAGGGGAGAGGUAUGAAUUAAUCCAUGGCUAUUAGGUGCUGAGACAUGACUGGGAACUUGGCUACCUGAUCAGGUUUCUAUCCAAAACACUGAAUGUGGCAGAUCCAAGGCAAAAGGCAAAGCAUCUAGAAGGUGGAGACAUCUACUCAACUGUUCCCAGGCCCAGAAACAAGCAAUUGAAGUAGAGAGAUGAAUGGGAAUGCUUGUGGUCUUCAAGUCUACGUCUCACAUGUCCCAUCAAAUUCAACAGAAUACAGAGCCACAGUCCAGUGGAAAGAGGUGUGGAUUCAGGGAUCUGGCUCAUCUCUGGCUCCUCAAUUUUCCAUCCAUAAAAUGGGGAGUUUAUUAGGAAGGUCAAGGAGUUAAACUAGUAGGUGCUUCAUUCCUCCAGCUGAGUCAAAACUACAGCAAGCUCCCUAACUACAUACACACACAAACUCAAGUCAUGUUUUCAAAAAUCUCAUCAGCCUAGCAAAACGCAGGGAGACUGCUCUCCCCCACGGUGUUGUGAAGUAUUUGCAUUGUGCUGAAACAUCACCAAGAAAGCAGCCAGAUGGACAGAAUCUAAAGUAAGGGGGAAACUCCAGAGGGAACUUUAUUCCGAAAUGAAGAACUUAGGCUUUCUGACUUUUCCCAUGUUUUUAAACUCUUAUUUUACCUUACAAAUGCAAUUCCCCCCAUUCUGUCAAACCACGUGCUCUCUCCACAAUUUCCUUGCCACAACAUGGUGAGAAAAGGGAGAGGUGCAGUGAGAAUGAGCUGAUGUUUGCAAAGGGCUUUGGAAGUCUUGCUGGAACAUGCUACACAAACACAGGAUAUUAUUUCUAAGCUGCCACUGCUUAAAGAAGGGAGAGACUGGGAGGAGCAGUGUCCUGAUGUUCUGAGGCAGCAGCAGUGGGUAGGUCAGAGGAACAGGAAACACCCAGCAACUUCCCAGAGGGAAUGUGAGAGCAGAGCAGUGGGAGGGAGCUGAGGCUCUAAAGUCCAUCUCAGAGAAGGUGGCUGCCCACAAUUUACAGACUGUAUUGAAGGACAGAAAAGCCUUCUUAGCAAUUCAAAUAAUAAAAAUUGAAGAUAUUUUUGCAAAGAAAUAAUUGAGAGGCUGCAAGAGGUGAGCAGGGAUUGUGGUAACUCCCUCACCCUCUCCCUAGAGCUGUGUAUGCAAAUUUUAUGGAAAGAAUUUCUAUGACUCCUUUCAACAGGCACCUUAGGGAGAGUCAGACUUUCUGUUUCCAUGCCUCUCACUGAUUUGAAAUGGGAGAUCACAAAGCUAUCAGCCAGUACCAGACUCCUUUGCUCCUUUGCCUUGCUGUGCAAAAUAAAAGGAGAGGUCCACUCUUCUCAGAACUGUGACCUCUAACGAAAACUACAGCCAGCACAGCUCCCUUCAUAUUCUUUUAAUGAUUGACAUCAUUAGAGACCUACAAGGAAGACCUUCCUACCUGGUUCAUCAACCUCUGCCUUCAUUAUACCUAUUCAUCUAUUGGUACACGUUUGAGCUUAUGGCAUUUCAAAAAGAGAUCUACCUAAAUUAAAGACCCGGCAAUGGGGGCUUCUCUUUCCCUAACUCUUUAGGGAGCUAUUUUUGAAAUAGAUUCAAAAUGGAAUUGGACUUAUUUCAAUUCCACAAAUAUGUACUAAGUAUCUACUGCAUGAAAAACACCAUGCUAAGCCCCAUAAUGAAGAUGAAAUGAAGAGAAAGAAAUGAAGACGGUUCUGGUGAUUUGCAUAUUAUCUAGUAAAAGAGAGAGGCACAUAUAUAAAAGACAAUCAUGGAGCAGAAGGACAUGGAGGAUGAACAGGGAUUUUUUCCUUCUUGCGGGGAUUAAGAAAAGGAGUUGUACACAGGUUGGUAUUGACUUGACCCUUGAAAGAGAGGUAGGACUUUGCCAAGUGACCAUGGGUGCUCAUUCCAUCGGGAGCCAAGAUCCAGGGGAGAAAAAUGUGGAAAAUUGUGAACACGUGACUGGAAUAGUUCUUACGUGGAGGGUGCUGUCAAGGUGAGAAAUAAAUGGUAGCUUUGGAUCUCA